rnacentral:rRNA from 1 species
GACAGAGGUGCCGAGCGUUAGGCGGAAUCACUGGGCUUAAAGCGUGUGUAGGCGGCCCGUUAAGUGUCCCGUGAAAUCCCCCGGCUCAACCGGGGAACCGCGGGGCAUACUGGCGGGCUUGGGUCGCUCAGGGGCAAGCGGAACAGGCGGUGGAGCGGUGAAAUGCGUAGAUAUCGCCUGGAACGCCGAAGGUGAAAACAGCUUGCUGGG